rnacentral:rRNA from 1 species
UGGGCAACCUGCCCCUAGCUCCGGAAUAACCCCGGGAAACCGAGGCUAAUACCGGAUACGACCCUGCGCGGCAUCUCGCGGGGUGGAAAGUUUUUCAGCUAGGGAUGGGCCCGCGGCCUAUCAGCUUGUUGGUGGGGUAAUGGCCUACCAAGGCGACAACGGGUAGCCGGCCUGAGAGGGUGACCGGCCACACUGGGACUGAGACACGGCCCAGACUCCUACGGGAG